AUUGAACGCUGGCGGCAUGCCUUACACAUGCAAGUCGAACGGUAACGGGCCUUCGGGUGCCGACGAGUGGCGCACGGGUGAGUAAUACAUCGGAACGUGCCCGAUCGUGGGGGAUAACGAGGCGAAAGCUUUGCUAAUACCGCAUACGAUCUACGGAUGAAAGCAGGGGACCGCAAGGCCUUGCGCGGACGGAGCGGCCGAUGGCAGAUUAGGUAGUUGGUGGGAUAAAAGCUUACCAAGCCGACGAUCUGUAGCUGGUCUGAGAGGAUGAUCAGCCACACUGGGACUGAGACACGGCCCAGACUCCUACGGGAGGCAGCAGUGGGGAAUUUUGGACAAUGGGCGCAAGCCUGAUCCAGCCAUGCCGCGUGCAGGAUGAAGGCCUUCGGGUUGUAAACUGCUUUUGUACGGAACGAAAAGCCUUCUUUUAAUACAGGAGGGUCAUGACGGUACCGUAAGAAUAAGCACCGGCAAACUACGUG
rnacentral:rRNA from 1 species